UCAUCACAGCACAAAGUUCAGAGGGUGCAACUGUGUACGCCUUUCUUCUUGCAGAAAACCCUGAACGUUGGGCUCUUAGGACAAGAGGUGAUGUUCCAGCAGCGUCGGCGGCUGACUUCAUCAGAGCGGAGCCCGGGGAAGACCGUGGAAAUGAGCGCAGCCGGGAGAGCUCUUUGAUGUCCCCCGUGGAUCUCACAGUGCGCUGCAGGGACACGCGGCACCGGGAGUGUGGAGGACUCAUUCCAAGUGUCUGCUCUUCCUGGGUGAGCGGUAUAUAGAAUGUUUUCUGAAGAGGGAGGGACGCCUGUCCACUUCAAAAGGCUGGGGGGGGGGCAUGCGGCAGCCGUGGGACUGGGGCCACAGAGCCAGAGGCUUUCCCUCCCUCUGCACCACUCACCCUGAGCUGCCUCCACCUCCCUUGCGG
rnacentral:lncRNA from 12 species